rnacentral:lncRNA from 1 species
AGCAAGAAUUUUCUCUUCCUUUAGUAGUCCUUCAUGAGCAAAUAUUCUUUCAAUGGUAUAUACUCCUAGAAAUCUUAACCACUCAAGAUAUACCUCUUUCUUGUUCAACAAGGAAUUUACUUCCGAUGUGGGUAAAUGUGAACAUGUGCCAACAGAUGGUAAGUUUGUCAGAACAUUCCACAAUGUAUCAUUGAUGGGUG